rnacentral:rRNA from 1 species
GUAGGGUGCAAGCGUUGUCCGGAAUUAUUGGGCGUAAAGAGCUCGUAGGCGGUUUGUCGCGUCUACUGUGAAAUCUGGGGGCUCAACCCCCAGCCUGCAGUGGGUACGGGCAGACUAGAGUGCGGUAGGGGAGAUUGGAAUUCCUGGUGUAGCGGUGGAAUGCGCAGAUAUCAGGAGGAACACCGAUGGCGAAGGCAGAUCUCUGGGCCGUAACUGACGCUGAGGAGCGAAAGCAUGGGGAGCGAACAGGAUUAGAUACCCUGGUAGUCCAUGCCGUAAACGUUGGGAACUAGAUGUGGGGGCCAUUCCACGGUCUCCGUGUCGCAGCUAACGCAUUAAGUUCCCCGCCUGGGGAGUACGGCCGCAAGGCUA